AAAUCUGGCGCCUUCGGUGUCCGAGUUGUAAUUUGAAGAAGGUAACUUUGGUUUUGGCUCUUGUCUAUGUUCCUUGGAACAGGACGUCACAGAGGGUGAGAAUCCCGUGCGAUGAGAUGCCCAAUUCCAUGUAAAGUGCUUUCGAAGAGUCGAGUUGUUUGGGAAUGCAGCUCUAAGUGGGUGGUAAAUUCCAUCUAAAGCUAAAUAUUGGCGAGAGACCGAUAGCGAACAAGUACAGUGAUGGAAAGAUGAAAAGAACUUUGAAAAGAGAGUGAAAAAGUACGUGAAAUUGUUGAAAGGGAAGGGCUUGAGAUCAGACUUGGUAUUUUGUAUGUCUUGCUUUCGGGUAGGGCCUCUGCAGUUUAUCGGGCCAGCAUCAGUUUGGAUGGUAGGAUAAUGACAUUGGAACGUAGCACUGCUUCGGUGGUGUGUUAUAGACUUUGUUGAUACUGCCUGUCUAGACUGAGGACUGCGUCUUUGACUAGGAUGCUGGCAUAAUGAUCCUAAGC
rnacentral:rRNA from 1 species